CUUGCCUCAUGAGAAUUUAGUUGCCUGUGGUACCUUGUUGUAGUAAAUUAGAGCUAACUGGUGGGACGUGGCUACUGCUCACACACACACACACACACACACACACACACACACACAAUCAUCAUCUCUGUGAAUCUGCAGGAGGAUCAGGGAGAUUUUCUACAAGCAAGAAGGAAACCAGGUGCACACGUCCUCCAGAACCGUUCUUCUUUCCUGCUGAAGACUAAGAUGGCCACUUGCGGGUCAUGUUUCUGGUGCAUCAUAUGGCUCAUUGUUCUGCUGUUCAUUGGCUGGCCCAUCAGCAUCGCUUUAGGGGGUCUCUACGGCCUCAUCAGCCCCCUCACCACCUGCCUUGGUCUGGACCGACUGUCUGAUUUACUCCUGGAGGGAGCUAAUGUGGGCAGAACCUGUGCCAAUAACAUGAGGCACAGCAAGCCUUUGUGUUGAAAUUCAUCUUGUCUGAUCAGGACCAGAAAAAACAGAGGUCGAAGCCUUCACCUCAGGAAGAACUGUUAAUGUCUGAUUUAUGUGGAGCUAUUCCAGCACGACUGGUGCAUAAUUCCCUGAGAAACCUUCCAGCAACUUAUGUCACAAUAAGGUCCAGAAAGUCUUGGAAAAUUGAUUCCUCUCUCACUGGUAACAUGUAAUUAACUACAGAUUUUAAAUUUGCAUGGGUUUGUCAGGAAGAAAAUAGGCUUGCAGUGCAUGGUCUGUGUUUGCUGUUUAAUUCACGAUGACGCUGCGUGGAGACGAUAAGAACGAAAAUGCCAAUUUAACAAUGAAAAUAUUUAGACUUGGUAAUGUCUGUAUGGAAAUAUAUGGAAAUGCGAUUAAAACUGCUUUGAACUUGC